rnacentral:rRNA from 1 species
CCUACGGGUGGCAGCAGUCGAGAAUCAUUCACAAUGGGGAAAACCCUGAUGGUGCGACGCCGCGUGGGGGAAUGAAGGUCUUCGGAUUGUAAACCCCUGUCAUGUGGGAGCAAAUUAAAAAGAUCGUACCACACGAGGAAGAGACGGCUAACUCUGUGCCAGCAGCCGCGGUAAUACAGAGGUCUCAAGCGUUGUUCGGAAUCACUGGGCGUAAAGCGUGCGUAGGCUGUUUCGUAAGUCGUGUGUGAAAGGCGCGGGCUCAACCCGCGGACGGCACAUGAUACUGCGAGACUAGAGUAAUGGAGGGGGAACCGGAAUUCUCGGUGUAGCAGUGAAAUGCGUAGAUAUCGAGAGGAACACUCGUGGCGAAGGCGGGUUCCUGGACAUUAACUGACGCUGAGGCACGAAGGCCAGGGGAGCGAAAGGGAUUAGAUACCCUUGUAGUC